rnacentral:rRNA from 1 species
GACGAACGCUGGCGGCGUGCUUAACACAUGCCAGUCGAACGGAUAGGCCCUGCUUUUGUGGGGUGCUCGAGUGGCGAACGGGUGAGUAACACGUGAGUAACCUGCCCUUGACUUUGGGAUAACUUCAGGAAACUGGGGCUAAUACCGGAUAGGAGCUCCUGCUGCAUGGUGGGGGUUGGAAAGUUUCGGCGGUUGGGGAUGGACUCGCGGCUUAUCAGCUUGUUGGUGGGGUAGUGGCUUACCAAGGCUUUGACGGGUAGCCGGCCUGAGAGGGUGACCGGCCACAUUGGGACUGAGAUACGGCCCAGACUCCUACGGGAGGCAGCAGUGGGGAAUAUUGCACAAUGGGCGGAAGCCUGAUGCAGCAACGCCGCGUGCGGGAUGACGGCCUUCGGGUUGUAAACCGCUUUCGCCUGUGACGAAGCGUGAGUGACGGUAAUGGGUAAAGAAGCACCGGCUAACUACGUG